GCCAGGGCGCAGUGCAUUGUGGGGCGAGGAGCAGAGCUUGGAGGUGCUGGUGGAGAGGCGCCUGCAUGGGGUGAGGCCCGGGUCCUGCCACCCAGAGGAAACCUGAGCCGCAGCAGCUCUGGCUCCCUCUCUGCUGCCCCUCCCCACUGCUUUCCAAGGGCAGGUGCUGAGGCCAGUGGCCUGGUGGGUGACCGCCCUCCAGGUCCUAGGAGGAAAUUGUCCCCAGGGUGUUUGCUGGCUUGCAGUUAACAGGAGGCCUCUUCAGAGGAGAAACUUCUCCAUUUCACAUCAGCGUCUCUGGGAAAAUUCCACUCCAAGAUUCUGUGUGGACUCUCAUCCAAACACAUGGCAGGUGAUCGUCUAAACCACCCAGGGAAGGUGCCAGAGGUAAACAUCUAAUUAAUUAAAGAAAACCUCCCUCCCCACCCGAACCUGGAAAAGGCCCUGCCAUGGAGAAGUGCUCACUCUCGCCAAUGCACGCUCACACACGUACUUUCCAAACCGCUUCCAGGUGACUGGUCCGCAAGCCGGCCUGCCUCUGUUAAUUAAAGUCUACAAACCUUCAAGCCCAUCGCCCUUCCUUGGCUGUCUGCGUGACCACAACCCCUACGCUCUUCCAAGCAACAUUUGCUCCAACUUAAUAUUCUGGUGCUUUCGGGAACAUUUAAAAAUAAACCAUUUUGGCACAUUG